rnacentral:lncRNA from 1 species
AGCAGUUUCACUGCUGUAGUGGAAGCAAAACCCCGGUAGGAGUAUAUUCAGCAGAGAGUUGGAGGAAAGGAACUGGAGACCCUGAAUCUAGAAAACACUUCCAAGGAGCUUUGCUCAGACCCCUGGAAUUAAACUAACCCAAAGAGACCAGCAGAACACUCCAGUUAAUAGCAGGUUAGGAAUAAAAUGGUAGGUGCAAAAUGGAUGACUAAAAUUCUGAAAUUACCCAUGUUGAAGAGUGCUGAUCUAUAAAAUGAAUUUGCGUCAUUACUCAUGAACUCUCUAUAUUUCAGAUUUUGUGAAUUUCUAUGAGCUUCAACUAUUCCUACUCUCGGGGUAGAAACAGGUUGAAGUGGGAGCACACCGCAUGAAGAUAGUUUCUGAGUUAGAGAGUGCUA